ACAAUUUGACCUCAAAUCAGGUAGGAUUACCCGCUGAACUUAAGCAUAUCAAUAAGCGGAGGAAAAGAAACUAACAAGGAUUCCCCUAGUAACUGCGAGUGAA
rnacentral:rRNA from 1 species